rnacentral:rRNA from 1 species
UAGCAUAAUAAUUUGUUUUUUAAAUGAAAACUAGUAUGAAUGGCCAUCCAUUUUCUAACUGUCUCUCUAUAUUCUCUUUUAAAUUUCUACCCCCGUGAAGAAGCGGGGAUUUCAAAGUAAGACGAAAAGACCCUGUCGAGCUUAAGCUAAUAAAAGAAAUUUAAUUUAUAUUAAUUUAUAUUUUUAUCUUUUUUAAGCUUUGGUUGGGGCAACCAUGGAGUAAAACUACCCUCCAGUUAUAAUAAGAUGAAUUUUAUUCUCUUUAUUAAUUUAAUGAACCAAACUAUUUUGGUAAACAGAAAAAGUUACCGCAGGGAUAACAGCGUAAUCUUCUUUGAGAGCCCAUAUUGACAAGAAGGUUUGCGACCUCGAUGUUGGAUUGGGGCAACCAAAAAGCGCAGCCUCUUUUAAAGGUUG